rnacentral:rRNA from 1 species
GAUGAACGCUGGCGGCGUGCUUAACACAUGCAAGUCGAACGAAGCACUUUAUUUGAUUUCCUUCGGGACUGAUUAUUUUGUGACUGAGUGGCGGACGGGUGAGUAACGCGUGGGUAACCUGCCUUGUACAGGGGGAUAACAGUUGGAAACGGCUGCUAAUACCGCAUAAGCGCACGGCAUCGCAUGAUGCAGUGUGAAAAACUCCGGUGGUAUAAGAUGGACCCGCGUUGGAUUAGCUAGUUGGUGAGGUAACGGCCCACCAAGGCGACGAUCCAUAGCCGACCUGGGAGGGUGACCGGCCACAUUGGGACUGAGACACGGCCCAAACUCCUACGGGAGGCAGCAGUGGGGAAUAUUGCACAAUGGGAGAAAGCCUGAUGCAGCGACGCCGCGUGAGCGAAGAAGUAUUUCGGUAUGUAAAGCUCUAUCAGCAGGGAAGAUAAUGACGGUACCUGACUAAGAAGCACCGGCUAAAUACGUG